UACGUAGGGUGCGAGCGUUAAUCGGAAUUACUGGGCGUAAAGCGUACGCAGGCGGCUGCGCAAGACAGAUGUGAAAUCCCCGGGCCUGACCUGGGAACUGCAUUUGUGACUGCGCAGCUCGAGUCCGUCAGAGGGGGGUGGAAGUCCACGUGUAGCAGUGAAAUGCGUAGAGAUGUGGAGGAACACCGAUGGCGAAGGCAGCCCCCUGGGAUGAGACUGACGCUCAGGUACGAAAGCGUGGGGAGCAAACAGG
rnacentral:rRNA from 1 species